CCCUUAGAUGUUCUGGGCCGCACGCGCGCUACACUGAUGCGUUCAACAAGUUUCCUUGGCCGAGAGGCCUGGGCAAUCUUCUUAAUAUGUAUCGUGAUAGGGAUAGAUUAUUGCAAUUAUUAAUCUUGAACGAGGAAUUCCUAGUAAACGCAGAUCAUCAAUCUGCAUUGAUUACGUCCCUGCCCUUUGUACACACCGCCCGUCGCACCUACCGAUUGGAUGUUCCGGUGAAGCCUCGGGAUGAGGACUGGUGCCUUUAUUGGCACGAGUUGUUCAGAACUUGUCUAAACCUUAUCAUCUAGAGGAAGGUGAAGUCGUAACA
rnacentral:rRNA from 1 species